CGCCAUCAGUCUAUACUAUACACUGACGACAUGGUUCUACAGAAACCAGGAUUAGAUACCCUGUUACUUAUAAUUAAAAAUUUUGGAAUAGUAAUUAUUAUGAAAUUUAACUGAUUUGGCGGCAAAAUAGCCAUUUAGAGGAACCUGCCCUAUAAACGAUGAACCACGAAAUACUCUACUUUUUUUGUAAACAGUUUGUAUACCUCUGUUGUCAGUCAGUUUUAUAAGAAAACUUUCUCUAAUGAUAAGAUCAUAAACUUCAAGUAAAGGUGCAGCUUAUAUAAAAGAUAGAGGUGGGUUACAUUUAUAAUGAUUAAAACGGAUAAAGAUUUUUGAAAAAACUUUUGAAGGCGGAUUUAAAUGUAAAGUUUAAGCAAACUUGAUGUGAGCUCUAUUUUGUGUACAUAUCGCCCGUCGCUAGACCAAGUCUCUGCUACGUAAUAGUAUAGACUGAGCGGCUGG
rnacentral:rRNA from 1 species